rnacentral:snRNA from 1 species
GACAUCAGAUUAAAUGUUAUAUAAAUAUCAAUUAGACAGAGAAGAUUAGCAUGGCCCCUGUGCAAGGAUGACACGCAAAUUCGCAAAGUGUUCCAUAUUUUA